rnacentral:rRNA from 1 species
AUUGAACGCUGGCGGCAGGCCUAACACAUGCAAGUCGAACGCGAAAGUUCUUCGGAAUGAGUAGAGUGGCGGACGGGUGAGUAACGCGUAGGAAUCUGCCCUGUAGUGGGGGAUAACCCGGGGAAACUCGGGCUAAUACCGCAUACGCCCUAAGGGGGAAAGCGGGGGAUCUUCGGACCUCGUGCUAUAGGAGGAGCCUGCGUCGGAUUAGCUAGUUGGUAGGGUAAAGGCCUACCAAGGCGACGAUCCGUAGCUGGUCUGAGAGGAUGAUCAGCCAAACCGGAACUGAGACACGGUCCGGACUCCUACGGGAGGCAGCAGUGGGGAAUAUUGGACAAUGGGGGCAACCCUGAUCCAGCCAUGCCGCGUGUGUGAAGAAGGCCUUCGGGUUGUAAAGCACUUUCAGUGGGGAGGAAGGGCAGUAAGUUAAUACCUUGCUGUUUUGACGUUACCGACAGAAUAAGUACCGGCUAACUCUGUGCCAGCCGCCGCUGUAAGAC